GCCCGGGUGGUGAAAUUGGCAGACACGCUGGAUUUAGGUUCCAGUGCCGAAAGGCGUGCGGGUUCAAGUCCCGCCCUGGGCACCA
rnacentral:tRNA from 1 species